AAAGCAGUCACUGUUGGGAAGUCACUGAGUGAAGAGAAAGAAAAUACAAAGAUUGAGAGCUUUUUCCCCAGAUAACUCUGAGUGGCCCAUAUAUUUGGCAAUAGACUGUAUAAAAAGCAGGGACCUCAGAGUUGUGAAGCGGUUUCAGGGAUCGACAGGAGCUCACGAGUGUUAUCUUUGAGUUUCAUGUUUCUUACUGGUGGAAGCGACUACUUGACCCACUUUCCAUGGGCUGCCAAAGAUCAUCUUGAGCAGGAUGGUCUAACAAAAGUGGGGGACUGUUCAUACAUAACAAGGGAAACAGGUUCUAACACGUAGUCAGGAUUUUCCAAUCAAGAGAAAAUGGAAUUGAGGAGAGUAUUUUCAGAAGAUUGGGAAUCCCACAUUCAAAGAAAUGUAAUUCUUCUAAGACUAUAACUGCACAGAAUGCCACAGUGACCCUGAUGCCUGCAGGGAACUGAAUCCAAGAUGCCUCAAAGAGACCAACGUUCUGUGAGAUGGUAGUUCUUCCAAACAGCCUGUGCACAGACACCAUAUACUUUAUUUUAUUCCUCUUAUUUUAUUUUACAAGAAUGAAACCCAGAGCCUUGUGCAUGCUACACAAAUACUCUGACACUGAGGUACAUCUCCAGUUCUUUUCUGUUUAUUUUUGGACAGAGUCCUUGCUAUGUUGCCCAGGCUGGCUUUAGGCUUGCCUCUUGUAACGUGGUCCACCACCAUGCCUGUAAUGUAAAUGUGUAAUGUCAAUCAUCUCUAAAG
rnacentral:lncRNA from 1 species